rnacentral:tRNA from 1 species
ACCUUAAUAGUUUAAAAUAAAACCUUGAAUUGUGGUUUCAAUAAUACAUCUUUUUGUUUAAGGUC